AGAAGGUAAUACAUCUUGCUAGAGGACCUAAGAGUCAAGCUGGAAAAUAGGAUAGGAAUUUUGGUAGAAAUAUAAGGGACAUAUCGAAAUCCAGACAUGCAAAAAAGGUGUCUUUGCUGUAAGAAGAAAGAACAUAUUAGGUCUAAUUACUAUUCUUUGAGAAAACAAAAAUAAGGCUGCUGGAGCUACUAAAAGAAGAAAGUAGCAUGUUAACAUAGCAGAGGCUGAUUUUAUGGAAUAUAGGCAAAGUAAAGGAGAGCUUCUUGUAAUUUCUAACAUGGAUUCCAAAUUUUGUGAGAAAUGGGUUCUUGACUUGCCUUGUACUUCCAUAUAUGCUCCAACAGGGACUGGUUUACAACAUAUGAAUGAGUUUGGAGAGGUGCAGUGAUUAUAGGAAACAACGGGCCUUGCAAAAUCAUCGAAGUUGGUACAAUUAGAAUCAGAAUAUUUGAUGGUACUUUCAUAACACUUACAAACGUCAGGUACGUUCCAGAACUGAAGCAAGAAAACUCUACAUAGUUGUACAUUUUACAGGGUUCCAUAGUUACAGAAGAUACAGCAGUCUUUACUUCUUUUUUGACUAAUGAGAAAGUUAUAAAACUAAGGUAUAUGCAAGUUGGGCAUAUGAGUAAGAAUGGUACGGUAGAAUUGAGUAGGAGGGAACUUCUUGAUGGACAGAAGACCAGUAAGAUAAAGCUUUUGAGCAUUGUGUUUUCAAGAAACAGAAAAUGGUCAGAUUUACUACAGAAAGACAUAAUACAAAGGGAAUACUUGAGUAUAUCCAUUCAAAUCUUGGAGGAUCAGUCAGGGUACCUUCAAGAGGAGGUGUUUAUUAUCUAUUAACAAUGAUUGAUGAUUUCUCCAAGAAAGUUUGAGUAUUCUUCUUGAAACUGAAGAGUGAUAUGUUUGGGAUCUUCAAGGAAUGGAAAACAAUGAUGAAAAAGCAGACUAAUAGGCAAAUUAAGCGUAUAUGCACAGGUAAUGGGCUAGAGUUUUAUUCGGAUGAGAUCAAUAGCUUUCUGUAGGGUUGAAGACAUCUUGAGACACUUGAUAGUGCUCGAAACUCCUCAACAAAAUGGUGUAACAAAAUAGAUGAAUAGAAGUUUGAUGGAAAAGAUUCGUUGUAAGCUUUCAAAUUUUGAGCUACCUAAGAUUUUUUGGGCUGAAGCUAUUGUUACAUCUUAUUUUCUGAUUAAUCACCCACUCUCAACUGUCAUUGAGAAAAAGACGCCAGAAGAUGUAUGGUCUGAAAAACCUUCUUGUUAUAUUGGUUUGAAGAUUUUCGGUAUCCUGCGUAUGCUUAUGCUCGUGUGGAUAAUGAAAAGUUGGACCCUAUGUCUAGAAAAUGUGUCUUUCUUGGGUAUAAAUCAGGGGUGAAGAGGUAUAAAUUGUAGUGUACUUAUAUGAGAAAGGUAGUAGUCAAUAGAGAUGUAGUAUUUGAUGAACUUGCUAUAGUUCAUGAUUCACCUCGUUGGGAUUCCAAUAAGUAGAACAAAAUCAUUCAACUCGAGUGGAGUUGAAAAUUGGUUCAGAAGAACAAUAAGAGGUUUCAAAACAAUCUACUCCAAAACAGUGCAGUUCAAAAUUACUAGAUAGUAUAUUUUGCCUAUUUUACCUGCACCACCACAGUACUCAAUUGCUAAAGUAGACCUCACAGACAGAUUAGACCUCCACAAAAGAUGGAGAAGCAGACUUGAUAGCGUAUGCUUUAAAUGUGGUUGAAGAAAUUGAUUCCACUGAGGAACCUAAUAUAUAGAGAGGCAUCAGUGAUUUUAGCAGAUGGUUGAUUUCUAUGUAGAAUGAGAUAGAGUCAUUGAAUAAAAAUUGUAUUUGAGACUUGGUGAAAUUAUCUAAAGAUAAAAAGGUUGUUCGCUGCAAGUGGGUGUUCAAAAAGAAAGAAAGAAUAUCAAUGAUUGAAGAUACUAGGUAUAAGGCCAAAUUGGUAGCAAAGGGCUAUAGUCAAAUUUCAGGUGUUGACUUCAUAGGUGUUCUCACCGGUUGUAAAGCAUAGUUCAAUUCGGACUUUAUUUGGGAUAGUGACAAAGAAUGACUUUGAACUUGAACAGAUGGACGUCAAGACAACAUUUUUGGAUGGAGAACUUAAGGAGAACAUUUACAUGCAACAACCAAAGAGUUUCUUAGUUUGUGGGAAGGAAGUCUAUGUGUACUUGUUGAAGGUUUUUGUAUGGACCAAAGCAGUCACUAAGGCAAUGGUAUAGAAGGUUCGAUUUAUUCAUAACUAAUCAUAGUUUUAGGAAAAGUAAUUAUGACAGUUGUGUGUACUUCAGAAAGGAAGUUCGUGGAUCGAUCACAUAUUUGUUGUUAUAUGUUGAUGAUAUGCUCAUUGCAAUUAAGGAUAAAGCAGAGACCAGAAAGAUGAAAUCUCAACUUGAUAAGGAGUUUGAGAUGAAGGAUUUAGGUGCAACAAAGAAAAUUAUUGGUAUGGAAAUCUUGAAGGAUAGAAAGAUUGGUAAAUUGUAUUUGAGUCAGAAGGGGGUACAUUGAGAAGUUGCUUUAAAGGUUCAAUAUGAUGAAUGUUACGUCUGUCAGUACUCCCUUGGCUGCCCACUUCAAAUUAUCAUUUGGAUCGUGUCCUUAAUCAAAUGAAGACAUUGAUUAUAUAUCUUGGAUUCCUUAUUCCAGUGUUGGUUCUCUAAUAUGUAUUAUGGUUUGUACAAGACCAAAUCUGACACAUGCAGUUAGUGCUGUUAGUAGGUACAUGGCAAAUCCUGGCAAAAAACAUUGGAAAGUAGUGCAAUUGAAGUUUAGAUACUUGAAGGGUGUUCAACUAAUGCUUACUCACAUUUUAAGUAAAAAUACAGCUAGAGUCAUUGGGCAUGUGGAUUCAAAUUAUGCAGGAGAUCAGUUACAGGAUAUGUGUUUACUCUUGGAGGCUAUACUAUUAGCUGGAAAGCUACUAUGCAAAAUACAAUAGCUUUGUCUACAGUAGAGGCAGAGUACAUGACUAUUACAGAGGCAUAUAAGGAGGAUAUGCAAUUAAAGAGUUUAAUUGGUAAAAUAAAUGAAGACUUGUGCAUUUCUACAGUAUAUGUGAUAGUAGUGUUAUUUUUCUAACUAAGGCCCAAAUAUUCCAUGAAAGGACUAAACACGUUGAUGUGAGGUAUCAUUUUGUGAGUGAAGUGAUUGUUCGUGGUGAUAUCUUAGUGAGCAAGGUAUAUCAAGGAUAAUCCUAUAAUCCUACUAAUAUGAUUACAAAAUCACUUUCCAUUGCUAAGUUUGAGCAUUGCUUGAACUUAGUUGGUAUUUGUCAUUAAUUUAGUCCUUUGAGGCUUGUUUGGAAAAGGAGUGGUGUUUGCUUUGAAUAUGUGUUUUUGAAAUUUCUUGUAUUGAAAUUUGGUUCAAGUUGGAGAUUUGUUGUAAUGUCACUUAAAUUCUAGUGCCUAUUGAAGUCCUAGUUGAAGUGGUCUUGAAGAGAUCAAAAUUAUAAAUCGAGAAGAAAAGUCACCACACUUUCACUAGCUUGUCGCCAACUAGAUGCUCAAGCAAAACCAACAAAUUUUCAAGAGAAAGAUCUUUCCCGCCUGAUGCUUGAGUGGCGAACGACAUCUCUCGCUUGUCGCUCGGGCGAAAGGGUUUCCCGAGUUUUUCAUUUUAACGCAUUUUGGACUUCUAUUUAUCUUAAACUCGGUUUCUAGUUUUAUAUAUAUAUAAGCUAUGACUUAUAUUGUUCCCAAAACAUUCAUAUAAUAUCUUGAGAGUUUUAGAUCUUAAUUGAGAGUAUUGAGAUCUUGUUAUAAACACAAUUGCUAUUGAUUUUAGUGGAUUUCUCCUCCUUU
rnacentral:lncRNA from 1 species